CCUACGGGAGGCAGCAGUGAGGAAUAUUGGUCAAUGGGCGUAAGCCUGAACCAGCCAAGUCGCGUGAGGGAUGAAGGUUCUAUGGAUCGUAAACCUCUUUUAUAAGGGAAUAAAGUGUGGGACGUGUCCUGUUUUGUAUGUACCUUAUGAAUAAGGAUCGGCUAACUCCGUGCCAGCAGCCGCGGUAAUACGGAGGAUCCGAGCGUUAUCCGGAUUUAUUGGGUUUAAAGGGUGCGUAGGCGGCCUUUUAAGUCAGCGGUGAAAGUCUGUGGCUCAACCAUAGAAGUGCCGUUGAAACUGGGAGGCUUGAGUAUGUUUGAGGCAGGCGGAAUGCGUGGUGUAGCGGUGAAAUGCUUAGAUAUCACGCAGAACCCCGAUUGCGAAGGCAGCCUGCCAGGCCAUGACUGACGCUGAUGCACGAAAGCGUGGGGAUCAAACAGGAUUAGAUACCCCAGUAGUU
rnacentral:rRNA from 1 species